rnacentral:rRNA from 1 species
CCUACGGGUGGCUGCAGUGGGGAAUAUUGCACAAUGGGCGCAAGCCUGAUGCAGCCAUGCCGCGUGUGUGAAGAAGGCCUUCGGGUUGUAAAGCACUUUCAGCGGGGAGGAAGGCGUUAAGGUUAAUAACCUUGUCGAUUGACGUUACCCGCAGAAGAAGCACCGGCUAACUCCCGUGCCAGCAGCCGCGGUAAUACGGGGGGUGCAAGCGUUAAUCGGAAUUACUGGGCGUAAAGCGCACGCAGGCGGUCUGUCAAGUCGGAUGUGAAAUCCCCGGGCUCAACCUGGGAACUGCACUCGAAACUGGCAGGCUAGAGUCUUGUAGAGGGGGGUAGAAUUCCAGGUGUAGCGGUGAAAUGCGUAGAGAUCUGGGGGAAUACCGGUGGCGAAGGCGGCCCCCUGGACAAAGACUGACGCUCAGGUGCGAAAGCGUGGGGAGCAAACAGGAUUAGAUACCCGGGUAGUC